rnacentral:rRNA from 1 species
UACGGAGGGAGCUAGCGUUGUUCGGAAUUACUGGGCGUAAAGCGCACGUAGGCGGCUUUUUAAGUCAGGGGUGAAAUCCCGGGGCUCAACCCCGGAACUGCCCUUGAAACUGGAGAGCUAGAAUCUUGGAGAGGCGAGUGGAAUUCCGAGUGUAGAGGUGAAAUUCGUAGAUAUUCGGAAGAACACCAGUGGCGAAGGCGACUCGCUGGUCUUUUGCUGACGCUGAGACGCGAAAGCGUGGGGAGCAAACAGG